GGCAGUAAUGUUGACCAAAGCCAGGACGAGGAUACUCUCUACAGCCUGACAGGCAGAUUCUUGCUGUUCUGAGUCCUUGGAUGCAAGGAACGGAUGAUUCUCGUCUUUGACAAGAACAAGCACCAGAGAAGAAAAAGAAAUAUUUAAUUUCAGAGAGCCACAAGGGACCUUAGAAGUCCUCUGUGUAGCCAAAGACUUUCAAGUGGUGUGAUUCAUGUCUACCAGCUGUCGGGGUGCAGAGGCUUCUUUGAUUUCACUUCCCAUGGAGCCCCAGCACCACACCAAGUGCCUAGAGCAUAGCAGACCCCAGUAAUAACAAGGAUGCAGGAAAAAAAGGCUGGUGCUCGCUUUGAGACAUUACAAUCAGAUGCAGCAUUCUCUCUGGUGUCCGUGUCUGUUUUGUCAUCUGCCAACUCCUUGCUCACCUGACCGGUAUCCUGGUUCCCCACCGGUUGUACGACCGACUGAGUCUAUCUGUGGCAUGUAAGGAAGAUGAAGGUUACCUUAGUAAGGACUGACCAUGAAUCAAGAGUUUCUUACUUAUCAGUGGCUAUGAGGGUGCAAAUCUCAGAGCCUGUAAACAGUUCCUGCCUACUCUGUCCACUGCUGUCACCCCACUCUUUCUCCACUAUACUACACAAAGAAGCUCAGCAGGUGUGUGGCAGAUGGAUGUUCCACAGAUGAAGACGUCAUAGGAGCUGAGGCAGAUCACGAGAAGGUUGCAGCAUUUUCUUCAAAAGAAGACUUAGGAGAAAGCUCCAUCUGAACAACAGAAACGAGCAGGUUGUAGGAGCAGCUCUGGGCUCUAGAAGCCUCUUAGGAACCACACUCACUGGAACUAUAUAAAGUUUUCUCUGCCAUUGAACUCAGUACAGUCCCACAAUGCCUUCCCUCUCCUCAAAUGAGCUUCGUGGGCUCUACAUCUUUGAGCUGCGGAGUGGGAGUUCCUUAAAGGCAUUGUGAUUGAGAUUGUUCCUUUCCUGAAGCACAGUAGUGGCCAGAGCAGCCACUGAGCUCUGACUGGGGACUGGGCAAGAGAGCUGCUAUGGAUCCCACCACUGAACCACAGUGCAGAUGGGUGGCGGUGGAAUGGGACCAAGUAACAGAGGGAACACAGGUAUAAUUUGGCCAAAGAUGCCUUGUUUGUUUGUUUGUUUGUUGUUUAUUUGUUGUUUAGACAGGGUCUCACUAGGUAGCCUCAGUUAGAGCUCAUGAUAUGCUUGCUUCCACCUCUGAAAUACUGGGUACCCAUACAUUGCAGAUGUGUGCAGGGUGUGAAGAUCACACCCAGUCAAUAUGGCCAUCUCCAGUAAAGUGGCCUCACUUGCAUAUAUUUAAAUAAUUUUGGGG
rnacentral:lncRNA from 1 species